AUCGCGAGACUAGUUUCAGCGCAUCUCCAGACUCGGCGCCGGCGGCACCUCACAUCUCAACUCGUCUCCAUUCUCCCAAGUCUUCCCCAUCCGGAAUCUGUACUGGACGCAAGGAAUGGCGUGUAGGUCGAACAAUUUGAUCCUAUGUUGCUCAAUCUGGGACUGGGUAUGGAAGUAACGCCGUCCAUGAUUCCGAGGAGAACCUACCAUGAUUCUGACGAACACAGGGACUACAUAAGGAGUUGGGACAACUUCUUCAGAUCCCUGAUCUGGUUACUUCAUAAACGUCGAUUUUCUCAUCCUCUAAAAAAAUUGUUUCUUGAUGCUGAUUUUUUAUGCAUUUGUAUAUAUACUCGCCGUAUCCCCGUAA